rnacentral:rRNA from 1 species
CCUACGGGGGGCUGCAGUGGGGAAUAUUGCGCAAUGGGCGAAAGCCUGACGCAGCGACGCCGCGUGAGGGAUGAAGGUCUUCGGAUCGUAAACCUCUGUCAGCAGGGAAGAACGGUCACUGUGCUAAUCAGCAGUGAAUUGACGGUACCUGCAAAGGAAGCACCGGCUAACUCCGUGCCAGCAGCCGCGGUAAUACGGAGGGUGCGAGCGUUAAUCGGAAUUACUGGGCGUAAAGCGCUCGUAGGCGGUAUGUCAAGUCAAGGGUGAAAUCCCCGCGCUCAACGUGGGAACUGCCUUUGAAACUGGCAAACUGGAGUGUGUGAGAGGAUAGUGGAAUGCCAGGUGUAGGAGUGAAAGCCGUAGAUAUCUGGAGGAACAUCAGUGGCGAAGGCGACUAUCUGGCACAUAACUGACGCUGAGGCACGAAAGUGCGGGUAUCGAACAGGAUUAGAUACCCCUGUAGUC